rnacentral:rRNA from 1 species
UACGGAGGGUGCAAGCGUUAUCCGGAUUUAUUGGGUUUAAAGGGUGCGUAGGCGGCUAUUUAAGUCAGUGGUGAAAUCCUGCAGCUCAACUGUAGAACAGCCAUUGAAACUGAAUAGCUUGAGUAAUCUUGAGGUAGGCGGAAUGUGUAGUGUAGCGGUGAAAUGCUUAGAUAUCGAGAGGAACACUCGUGGCGAAAGCGAGCUACUGGACAUUUACUGACGCUGAGGCUCGAAGGCUAGGGGAGCGAAAGGG